GAUGAACGCUGGCGGCGUGCAUAACACAUUCAAGUCGAACGGAGCUUUUGAGAUUAAUCCUUCGGGAAGCGUCGAGGAAGCUUAGUGGCGGACGGGUGAGUAACGCGUGAGCAACCUGCCUCUGUAUGAGGGAUAACGUUUGGAAACGGACGCUAAUACCUCAUGAGGCAAUGAGACCGCAUGAUCUUAUUGCCAAAGAUUUAUCGUACAGAGAUGGGCUCGCGUCUGAUUAGGUAGUUGGUGAGGUAACGGCCCACCAAGCCGACGAUCAGUAGCCGGACUGAGAGGUUGAACGGCCACAUUGGAACUGAGAUACGGUCCAG
rnacentral:rRNA from 1 species